rnacentral:rRNA from 1 species
ACUGUUUACCAAAAACAUAGCCCUCGGCUAAUAUGAAAAUAGAUGUAUAGAGGGUGAUGCCUGCCCAAUGGUUGUAUCUAAAAGCGGUUGAUAAAAGUCGACCUCGUAAGGACAAUUGAAUGGCCGCGGUAACACUGACCGUGAUAAUGUAGCGUAAUCAAUAGCCAAUUAAUUGUUGGCCAGUAUGAAUGGCGCCACGAAGGCCCCACUGUCUUAAGGAAAUUCCCAGUGAAAUUGAAUUCGUAGUGAAGAUGCUACGUCCAAUUUGUUAGACGAAAAGACCCCGUUGAGCUUUACUGGGGCACUUACACGGCCCCGGCCUUCCCGUGUCCGGGAACCGGCCGAAUUUAAAUGGGUGGUUUAGACUAUGUGGCAGCCCCCCGCCGGGGCAGAUGAAACCCCACUCCCCCAUGUCAAAGGGGCUAACCCCCUCUUGGGGGGGAG